rnacentral:rRNA from 1 species
AGUGAACGCUGGCGGCAUGCCUAAUACAUGCAAGUCGAACGAAAACACAGGAAGCGCGCGCUCCUGCGGGUGGCGACUGACGGGCGGGUAACACGUAGAUCGCCUUCCUCUAUGACUGGGAGGAUUUCGGGAGACAGGAUCCACUACCAGCUCACAUGUUGUACCGCAUGGUGCAACAGUGAUACGCGGUCUUCGCGUCACUUUGAGCCGGUGUCGCAUUAGCUAGUUGGCGGGGUAAGGGCCCACCAAGGCGACGAUCCGUAGCGGGUCUGAGAGGAUGAUCAGCCACACUGGAACUGAGACACGGUCCAGACUCCUACGGGAGGCAGCAGUGGGGAAUAUUGGACAAUGGGCGCAAGCCUGAUCCAGCCAUACCGCGUGGGUGAAGAAGGCCUUCGGGUUGUAAAGCCCUUUUGUUGGGAAAGAAAAGCAGCAGGUUAAUACCCCGCUGUUCUGACGGUACCCAAAGAAUAAGCACCGGCUAACUUCGUG